rnacentral:sRNA from 1 species
GAGCAGGUUCAUCGGGUACUGGGACCCAGCAGUGUGAUCCAGAGAGCAGUGGGAGAUGCUGGCAGCAGGAGCCGUGGAGUUGCAUCUUCUGCAGGAUGAACAAGUCUCCAGGAAGCCAACAGUGUUGUCAGGAAUCUGAGGUCCUGGAGAGGCAGAUGUGUCCUGAGGAACAGUUGAAAUGUGAGUUCCUCCUCUUGAAAGUCUAUUGCUGUUCUGAGAGCUCCUUUUUUGCCAAGAUUCCAUACUAUUAUUAUGUAAGUAACAACAGCAACCCAUGAUUACAGGCUGCCAUGACAUUACCUGACCCUGAAAUGGGCCCUCGUGAGAUUUGUGAUCUUAAUCCCACGGGGCAAGAGCACACGCUGUCGUUAGUUGCCUUCACCUUGUUGUAUUUCUGCUGGAUUUUAUGGGAAUCCACAGAAGGUAGACAUUGAACUAUGCUGGUAGCUUUUCCAUUGAUAUUUUUGUCACCAGAUUAGAGAGGCGUGUCAAGGCCUGAAGGAGCCCAUGUGGUUGGAUAAAAUCAAGAAAAGGCUGAAUGAGCAC